rnacentral:rRNA from 1 species
GGGGAAUAUUGCGCAAUGGGGGCAACCCUGACGCAGCCAUGCCGCGUGAAUGAAGAAGGCCUUCGGGUUGUAAAGUUCUUUCGGUAGCGAGGAAGGCAUUUAGUUUAAUAGACUAGGUGAUUGACGUUAACUACAGAAGAAGCACCGGCUAACUCCGUGCCAGCAGCCGCGGUAAUACGGAGGGUGCGAGCGUUAAUCGGAAUAACUGGGCGUAAAGGGCACGCAGGCGGUGACUUAAGUGAGGUGUGAAAGCCCCGGGCUUAACCUGGGAAUUGCAUUUCAUACUGGGUCGCUAGAGUACUUUAGGGAGGGGUAGAAUUCCACGUGUAGCGGUGAAAUGCGUAGAGAUGUGGAGGAAUACCGAAGGCGAAGGCAGCCCCUUGGGAAUGUACUGACGCUCAUGUGCGAAAGCGUGGGGAGCAAACAGGAUUAGAUACCCUGGUAGUCCACGCUGUAAACGAUGUCGAUUUGGGGGUUGAGCUUUGAGCUUGGCGCCCGUAGCUAACGGGAUAAAUCGACCGCCUGGGGAGUACGGCCGCAAGGUUA